rnacentral:rRNA from 1 species
UAGGGAAUCUUCCACAAUGGACGAAAGUCUGAUGGAGCAACGCCGCGUGAGCGAAGAAGGUUUUCGGAUCGUAAAGCUCUGUUGUGAGGGAAGAACAAGUACGGGAGUAACUGUCCGUACCUUGACGGUACCUCAUUAGAAAGCCACGGCUAACUACGUGCCAGCAGCCGCGGUAAUACGUAGGUGGCAAGCGUUGUCCGGAAUUAUUGGGCGUAAAGCGCGCGCAGGCGGUCCUUUAAGUCUGAUGUGAAAGCCCACGGCUCAACCGUGGAGGGUCAUUGGAAACUGGGGGACUUGAGUACAGAAGAGGAAAGCGGAAUUCCACGUGUAGCGGUGAAAUGCGUAGAGAUGUGGAGGAACACCAGUGGCGAAGGCGGCUUUCUGGUCUGUAACUGACGCUGAGGCGCGAAAGCGUGGGGAGCAAACAGG